rnacentral:rRNA from 1 species
UUUCCAUUCCGAACAGGGAAGUUAAGCCCGUUUGCGCCGAUGGUACUGCUAUACCAAGUGGGAGAGUAGGUCGCCGCCUUCC